rnacentral:lncRNA from 10 species
GAACUUAGAGACCAAGAAAGUCAAAGAAGAAAGGGACUGAAGAAUGUCAAGGAAAUGACCUAGCACUACAAGCCAUAAAGUAAUGACAGUUUCAAGGGGAAGAAUAGAGAGAAAGAGGAAUCAUGUGGAGAGGAAGAAGGUGGGGAGUUAAGGAGAGAAUUUGGUUAUAGCCAACAGGAAUAGAUCUGACAACUGAAAUUCUUAUGGGUAAAGGCAUUGUGGACAAAUACAAACUCACACACAAUGGGUUCCAAAGUAAUUUAUUUCUGCCCUGCAUUAGAAGAUGGGUGUCUGCUCAACCUAGAUGAGGCUCAACAAUAUCUCAGAGGGUGAGCAAGGCUUUCUUCCCGGGGGCAGCUCCACACAGAAAACCGACAAAUCCAUAUGUCAUCAUUUCUGGCCAGUGACCUCUGAGUGGAAGUCUGAGAAGAAGUUUCUGGGAAGAAGAGUCCUGUUAUGUCCUCACUCUGUUGUUUCCUGUGAAGGAUACUGGUGGGCAGAAGGGAAGACUAGAUUGAGGCAUCCAU